rnacentral:rRNA from 1 species
GAUGAACGCUAGCUACAGGCUUAACACAUGCAAGUCGAGGGGUAACGAGAGGGAAGCUUGCUUUCCUUGUCGACGACCGGCGCACGGGUGAGUAACGCGUAUCCAACCUGCCCCCAACUAGGGAAUAACCUUGCGAAAGUAAGACUAAUACCCUAUAAUUUCCUCAGAUGUCAUCUGACGAGGAAUAAAGAUUUAUCGGUUGUGGAGGGGGAUGCGUCUGAUUAGCUUGGUGGCGGGGUAACGGCCCACCAAGGCAACGAUAAGUAGGGGUUCUGAGAGGAAGGUCCCCCACAUUGGAACUGAGACACGGUCCAAACUCCUACGGGAGGCAGCAGUGAGGAAUAUUGGUCAAUGGGCGGAAGCCUGAACCAGCCAAGUAGCGUGCAGGAUGACGGCCCUAUGGGUUGUAAACUGCUUUUAUACAGGAAUAAAGUUAGCCACGUGUGGUUAUUUGUAGGUACUGUAUGAAUAAGGACCGGCUAAUUCCGUGCCAGCAGCCGCAGUAA